AACACAUGCAGUCGAGCGGUAGAGAGGUGCUUGACCUUUUGAGAGCGGCGGACGGGUGAGUAAUACCUAGGAAUCUGCCUGGUAGUGGGGGAUAACGUUCGGAAACGGACGCUAAUACCGCAUACGUCCUACGGGAGAAAGCAGGGGACCUUCGGGCCUUGCGCUAUCAGAUGAGCCUAGGUCGGAUUAGCUAGUUGGUGAGGUAAUGGCUCACCAAGGCUACGAUCCGUAACUGGUCUGAGAGGAUGAUCAGUCACACUGGAACUGAGACACGGUCCAGACUCCUACGGGAGGCAGCAGUGGGGAAUAUUGGACAAUGGGCGAAAGCCUGAUCCAGCCAUGCCGCGUGUGUGAAGAAGGUCUUCGGAUUGUAAAGCACUUUAAGUUGGGAGGAAGGGCAUUAACCUAAUACGUUAGUGCUUUGACGUUACCGACAGAAUAAGCACCGGCUAACUCUGUGCCAGCA
rnacentral:rRNA from 1 species